CCUUGGGGCGGGGUGAGAUUCCCCACCGGCGGUACAGCCCGCUUGCCCGGAAUACCGGGCUGAUUCGGUGAGAUUCCGAAGCCGACGGUAUAGUCCGGAUGAAAAAGGG
rnacentral:ncRNA from 1 species